rnacentral:misc_RNA from 1 species
UGUGAACUGCAGGACACAUGAACAUCGACAAUUCGAACGCACAUUGCGGUCCGGGAAACGCCUCGGCGUUCCGGGACCACGUCAGGCUGAGGGUCGUUUUCUACGAAAGCGACGCGGUUACGUCGCGACCAAGACGGCGCCGAUCCGUACGAGGAACGCCCGUCCGACGUGUCGCGCCCACCGUGCGCUUGUCGAGACUGCCGUCGUCCAUGCACGACGACGGCGAGAUUGAAAGUUGUUCGCAGUCGCCUCCGCAGAGUGACUGCGUCUUUUGGAAAAACACGCGCACGUAACGCACGUACGCAAAAAGACGAAAGCGCGCGCGCGCAACUAUUACGUUGUUGUCGUAGUCGCCGUAGUCGUAGUCGUCGUCGUUGUCGUUGUCGUCGUGAAAUUGUGUGGAAAAAGAACCGAGAGGUUUAUUUUUUGUCGCAGCCGCACGCGCAGCGGUGAAUAUCCGCCCGCACCUCCCGCCGUUUGGCGGCGUGGUGUCGUGCGUAUGGCCGGAAGUACACCUAACGCGUGCGUGCCUACGCAAAAACGUGGCGUGUACCCACGUGCUUGUGCGAACGGAGCAAACCAAACGCUUCGCAUCGUGUCGAUCGAAUCGGGCGUACGUUUACAGUCGCCCCUCUCGACGCCGUUUCGUGCUCCUCGCACGUCCGCGCCGCCGACGUGUCGUAGAACGUAGCGUACGUGUACGUACGAACGAACGAACGGACGAACGAGCUGGUUCUCGUCGUCCGCGUCGUCGCUCUUCUCGUCGACGUCCGGCAGGCAGGCGUUUCAGACUACGUCGAGACACGCGAACGCGUGCGUCGAGAGCGGGCUUCGGCUCCUCGAUUCGAUUUCGGUCUUGUCGCGUGACCGCACGAUGCGGGGACGAGCUCUCCUCCUUAAUUUUUGUGACGUCUUAGACGAUACACGCGCGAAGACGCACGACGCAAGUCGUCGUCGUCGUCUUCGUGUUCUGUAUAACGUUCGCAUUCGUGCGUGCGUGUGGCACACACCCUUUCGCGCAAAGGUUCUUUUUUACGUAACGCACAAACUUAUUUACACACGACGACCUCAGUUCGGGCGAGAUCACCCGCUAAACUUAAGCAUAUCGCUAAGCGGAGGAAAAGAAACUAACUAGGAUUCCCUCAGUAGCUGCGAGCGAACAGG